GCGUUGUCCGGAAUUAUUGGGCGUAAAGCGCGUGUAGGCGGCCAAGUAAGUCUUACGUGAAAUCCUGAGGCUCAACCUCAGGCCUGCGCGGGAUACUGCUUGGCUAGAGUCCGGAAGAGGAGAGUGGAAUUCCUGGUGUAGCGGUGGAAUGCGCAGAUAUCAGGAGGAACAUCCGUGGCGAAGGCGGCUCUCUGGGACGGUACUGACGCUGAGACGCGAAAGCGUG
rnacentral:rRNA from 1 species